UGCUUAACACAUGCAAGUCGAACGGAAAGGCCCUGCUUUUGUGGGGUGCUCGAGUGGCGAACGGGUGAGUAACACGUGAGUAACCUGCCCUUGACUUUGGGAUAACUUCAGGAAACUGGAGCUAAUACCGGAUAGGAGCUCCUGCUGCAUGGUGGGGGUUGGAAAGUUUCGGCGGUUGGGGAUGGACUCGCGGCUUAUCAGCUUGUUGGUGGGGUAGUGGCUUACCAAGGCUUUGACGGGUAGCCGGCCUGAGAGGGUGACCGGCCACAUUGGGACUGAGAUACGGCCCAGACUCCUACGGGAGGCAGCAGUGGGGAAUAUUGCACAAUGGGCGGAAGCCUGAUGCAGCAACGCCGCGUGCGGGAUGACGGCCUUCGGGUUGUAAACCGCUUUCGCCUGUGACGAAGCGUGAGUGACGGUAAUGGGUAAAGAAGCACCGGCUAACUACGUGCCAGCAGCCGCGGUGAUACGUAGGGUGCGAGCGUUGUCCGGAUUUAUUGGGCGUAAAGGGCUCGUAGGUGGUUGAUCGCGUCGGAAGUGUAAUCUUGGGGCUUAACCCUGAGCGUGCUUUCGAUACGGGUUGACUUGAGGAAGGUAGGGGAGAAUGGAAUUCCUGGUGGAGCGGUGGAAUGCGCAGAUAUCAGGAGGAACACCAGUGGCGAAGGGCGGUUCUCUGGGCCUUUCCUGACGCUGAGGAGCGAAAGCGUGGGGAGCGAACAGGCUUAGAUACCCUGGUAGUCCACGCUGUAAACGGUGGGUACUAGGUGUGGGGUCCAUUCCACGGGUUCCGUGCCGUAGCUAACGCUUUAAGUACCCCGCCUGGGGAGUACGGCCGCAAGGCUAAAACUCAAAGGAAUUGACGGGGCCCCGCACAAGCGGCGGAGCAUGCGGAUUAAUUCGAUGCAACGCGUAGAACCUUACCUGGGUUUGACAUGGAUCGGGAGUGCUCAGAGAUGGGUGUGCCUCUUUUGGGGUCGGUUCACAGGUGGUGCAUGCCUGUCGUCAGCUCGUGUCGUGAGAUGUUGGGUUAAGUCCCGCAACGAGCGCAACCCUUGUUCACUGUUGCCAGCACGUUAUGGUGGGGACUCAGUGGAGACCGCCGGGGUCAACUCGGAGGAAGGUGGGGAUGACGUCAAGUCCUCAUGCCCCUUAUGUCCAGGGCUUCACGCAUGCUACAAUGGCUGGUACAGAGAGUGGCGAGCCUGUGAGGGUGAGCGAAUCUCGGAAAGCCGGUCUCAGUUCGGAUUGGGGUCUGCAACUCGACCUCAUGAAGUCGGAGUCGCUAGUAAUCGCAGAUCAGCAACGCUGCGGUGAAUACGUUCCCGGGGCUUGUACACACCGCCCGUCAAGUCAUGAAAGUUGGUAACACCCGAAGCCGGUGGCCUAACCGUUGUGGGGGAGCCGUCGAAGGUGGGACUGGUGAUUAGGACUAAGUCG
rnacentral:rRNA from 1 species